GUACACUCCUGCGGGAGGCAGCAGUGGGGAAUAUUGGACAAUGGGCGCAAGCCUGAUCCAGCCAUGCCGCGUGAGUGAUGACGGCCCUAGGGUUGUAAAGCUCUUUCACCGGUGAAGAUAAUGACGGUAACCGGAGAAGAAGCCCCGGCUAACUUCGUGCCAGCAGCCGCGGUAAUACGAAGGGGGCUAGCGUUGUUCGGAUUUACUGGGCGUAAAGCGCACGUAGGCGGACUAUUAAGUCAGGGGUGAAAUCCCGGGGCUCAACCCCGGAACUGCCUUUGAUACUGGUAGUCUUGAGUUCGAGAGAGGUGAGUGGAAUUCCGAGUGUAGAGGUGAAAUUCGUAGAUAUUCGGAGGAACACCAGUGGCGAAGGCGGCUCACUGGCUCGAUACUGACGCUGAGGUGCGAAAGCGUGGGGAGCAAACAGGAUUAGAAACCCUGGUAGUCCCAU
rnacentral:rRNA from 1 species